GACAAUGACAAUUUGACAUUGUAUGCUUACAACUAGAAGAGGUGUGGUUUGGUCCGGUUGCAACUUUGAUGAAGAUUUCCAUAGUGUUCAUGAUGGUAAAGUUUACAGGGGUGUAUUCUUUUUCAUUUGUUUUUCUUGAUUAAUUAGACGCUAAAGAGGAACUUUCUAUGGAUUCUCUGAUACCUUCUGCUUUUGACACAAUAUUUUAUAAUGUUGAUACGAAAAUUGACUUUAAACUGCGAGGUGAUUGAGAGUUUAUGGAGAGUUCUCUACUUUGAGAGAGUCCUCUUAACAUUUCUCUUUAAUGUUGGCAGAGAUGUUAUCCCUAAAUGGAUUUCAAUCAAUGUAAUUCUCUCGCACGAAGUGCACCGCGAUAAGGAAAGGCCAAUUUCUACACGCAUAACUGCGUAAGCGCGCUACAAGUGGCUAAUGAGAAUAAUAUUUAAGGACACAAGAUACCAUACUGUAUCAAUCAGCUGGUCUAAUAAAAGUCUGUUUCAUUUUUGUUUUUAAUUGGGGCAUGUUUCUACGUCAAAUUCAUUACCCCAUAAAUAAGAUCCCAUGUGUUAGCAUGUGGGAAGAAGAGAGGGUCAAGUACAUCCUCUCCAUGAAGAUUAUGGUUUGGACUUUAGGAUUGAAAAUUCAGAGGACGGCUACAUCACGUGCAUAGUAUGUGCAUUCGGAUAAGUCCCUAUUGGUCGCUACACACUUAAAGCCUUCACCACCGCCGUUGUUUCAGCAUGCCGCGGUAUCCUACGAGCCGUUAGAUUUUCAUUACAGCCUGGAGGCUGGUCGGGACUCGAUUUCAUCCCAAUGCUCGUGGGUGGCAAUCAAAGUGAAAGUUUGUGUUCAAAUUGUGUUCCUCCUGUUGAUGCACAAAAUCAGCGAAGACUUUGGUACAACAGAAAGUGUCAGGUUUUGUGACCUUCGCUUGGUUGCUUCGGUCACUAGUGAGGAUAAGUACGUAAAUGAAUAGAGACAGAGAAGCAAACACAGGAUGUACGUGGUUCACCCAGAUUGGCUACGUCCACGGAGUAGAGGAGUUCUUAUUAGUAGUGAAGGGCUUACACAAGUACAAAGGAUCAAGCUCUCAAUUUAGUGAGUUCUUGUGAAUGAUUUAACACAAAUGGCAUUAGGCAAUAUUGUGGGGGGAUGACCCCUAUUUAUAGAAAAACUUGUAGCUUUGUCACAUUGACAUGUGUCAUGUUAUGAUUGGUUCUUGAUGUUGACACGUGCUGCGCUCUGAUUGGCUUCUAAUCUUGACACGUGUCGAGUAGUGAUUGGCCUCCUGGUCGGAGGGGAACUCUUCUGGGUCCUUGACAGUAUAGCGUUGGCCGGUGCUCGGUAGUUUCGGGAUUGGUCAAGUAUGGUAAAACAGUGCUCCCCUAAGUUCCCGAGUGAGGGAAACUCCUCGGUUGGGGACUUGCAAGAUCCAAUCCCUUGAGUAAUCACGAAACUUCUAAGUACCGAAGUGUGGUCUGAUCUUCAUCUGCCCUUCUCUGGAAGUACCUUUCCUCCAUCCGGGAAUGGUGUAUUUAGCUGAUGUUGACGCACAAGGUAAUGUAUCAAUUUCACUUGAAGCUUAGUUGUAGUUUCGGGCUUAGUCAAGUGUGAUACAAACCCUAUAGUAGGAGUCCCCCAAGUCGCCGAGCUAGGAGAUCUGCCGAAAGAGGUGACAGACAAGGUAAGCAGUCAAACUUCCAAGUAAGCAACCCAGGAUCAGAGGUUUGACUUCGGCUUCCGGUUGAUUGUUCUCCUUCUCCUUGUCUCUCAUUCAAACUGCCAGGAUAAGGAGAAGCAAAUGGAUAAGAGAUGAUAUGAGAUACUUUUGCUUUUGAAGAAGUAACUUUCCACAGGCUUAUUCUUGAACUGUGCUGGAGGGUUUUCUGGUGCCCUUCAGAGUAUAAGGCCGACUCAAAAAUUUGAGGGUCAAAACAAGUCCAUCAAAUCUAGAGUAUGUUCGACCUUGAUGAUAUGGGAUACUUUUGCUGUUGACGGAAUAAUGAAUGUGGUAUGGAAAGGUGUCGUGCUGUAGUGAUCUGUUUCAGCUCACCGUUGAACCUUCUGCUUCAAUCUUUUGCAUGGCAGAAGUGGUGUGCAACCUUUGCAUUUUAAAUGGUCCUUCAGAACAUUCCUUCAUAGUGACUCAUCCACGCUUGGCAGCUUCAGUGUAAAGAGCCAAUAUCUGAUCAACAACUGUCAUGAGGUAUUUGCCGGUGGAAUUCGUGACCUUGACAGCAGUUGAGGAUGAGUACUCGAGAGCAAUGCUAAGUAAGCAACCAGGCAAAGGCUCCAGGCAGUCAGUUCCAAAUUGGAGGUUUGAUUUCAGGUUCCGACUGACUGCUCUCUUUCUCCUUGUCCUGCAGGUGUGGACAAGGACAAAGACAAAGACAGGGAGAAAGCAUGAUAUGGGAUACUCUUGCUUUCGACCCUGAUGAUAUGAGAUACUCUUGUUCUUGGUGUGGCUUAUUUGCUGAGGCAUUAUCGGGGGGAAAUAAAGCUGAGUAUUUCGAGAGGUUAUGUUGAGGGUGCCUUUUCGAAUGCGAGAAAGGGUUGAGCAUUUUUGCAGGUUUUUUUGUCCGUUGAGGAGGGAGGUCAAUGUAUAUAGGGAUUUCCCAAUAACAAGUAGUAAUGCUAUUCCUUUACCCUUCUUGGUCACAGCAAUGUAGUGGGAGCUGCCAGCUUCACGUGUUUUAAUUUUGUCAGAGCACUUUGAAAAAGUGGUAUGUGGUAUCUGGAAAGCUGAUGUUACGUGUGAAGAUUACAGACAAGCUUUAUCUAAGGAAAUCUGGCUCUCGAAGUUCUGAGAGUUGUGCCUCUUCGGUUUUCGAACAAGCAAUCCCGUCGAGGAUCUGACUCUCGAGAUUCGGAAAGCGGUGCUACUCCGGUUUUUUAGAAAGUAUUAUGUUGGGAGUCUUUUCUCGAAUGUGAGUAAAGGUUGGACGUUCUUGCCAACCUGUCUUGCCACAAAACACGGAGGUCGACACACAUAGGGACUUUCCAGUUGUCAAGCAGUGGUGCUGUUCCUUUACCCUUAUGGGUAAUAGUAGGGUAGCUGGAACUUCGAAAUUCUCGUGCCUAAACUUUGUCAGAGAUCUUUGACAAAGUUAUAUGUGGUACCCGAGGAGUUGAUGGUGCAUAUGGAGAGCGGUGAUUGAACAGUAAGAUUCACGUGCUUUCUACUUCACCAGAAAUCUUCGACAGAGUGCCCGUAAUUUCCGCAAAGCUGAUUGUGCAUGUGACAGGUGCUGACGAGGCUGAAAAAGCAGGUGCUUCUUCGAUUUCUGAGAUCGGCCCUCGUGGUCUCUGAGCAGCCCAGCUUUUGAGAAAGCAAACGCCUCUUCGAUUUCUGAAGCUCCGUCCAGUGCAGAUUUUUAUAGAGGCUGACAUUAAGUUCCACAGCACACUUGAAUCUCUACCAGUAGAAGCUCAUUUCUUGCACUUCUAAGAUCUUGAUUUGUCUGACCUCUUCCCUCUUCAACACAUUUGAAAAUGUCUGGACCCUCCGACCGUCGUUUUGACUUGAACCUUGGAGAAGAGACAGCCACGCCUUCUCCAGACAACAUAUAUGGCGCCCAUCCUUCAUAUCCCCUACCGGUCCUCUUACCGUUGGGGAUUCUGUGAUGAAGAAUGAUAUGACCGCUGCAGUGGUGGCCAGGAACCUUCUCACUCCCAAAGAUAACAGACUACUUUCCAAACGGUCUGAUGAGUUGGCUGUUAAGGACUCUUUGGCUCUUAGUGUUCAGUGUGCAGGUUCUGUGUCUAAUAUGGCCCAACGCCUAUUUGCUAGAACCCGCCAAGUUGAAUCAUUGGCUGCUGAAGUGAUGAGUCUCAAACAGGAGAUUAGAGGGCUCAAGCAUGAGAAUAAGCAGUUGCACCGGCUCGCCCAUGACUAUGCUACAAACAUGAAGAGGAAGCUUGACCAGAUGAAGGAAUCUGAUGGUAAGGUUUUACUUGAUCAUCAGCGGUUUGUGGGUUUGUUCCAAAGGCAUUUAUUGCCUUCGUCCUCUAGGGUUGUACCUGGUAAUGAAGCUUCAAAUGAUGAACCUCCAAUGCCUCCUCCUUCUGGGGUUUUGUCAAGUACUGAGGCUCCGGAUAACCACCCUCCGGUGCUUUCUCUUUCUGGGGCUCUACCGACUGCUGAGACUUCCCCUAAGCAACCUUUGUGAAGGCUCCUUUUGUUUGUUUAUUUUGACUCAUGUAUAUGUACAUAUUUGUGGCUUAUCGAAAAUAUUAAUAAAUAAGCUUUGCUUCAUUUCAACAUAUUGUGUUAAAUACACCAAAGCCUUCUUCAUAAAGUUCUUUGAAUUUUUGCUUUUGUUGAAACCUGUAUUAUUGAAGCUUUGUGAGUGAAGCAUGUAGUUUGAGGUAAUGUUCCCUUAAUUUCACGAGUGAGGAAAACUUCUCGGUUGGAGACUUGAAAAAUCCAAGUCACUGAGUGGUUGUGAGACUGCCGAGUAUCAAGGUGCAGUAGCAUAUGGUGGGAGUCCCCCAAGUCUUCAGGCGAAGAGAGUUGCCGAAUGAGGUGUCUCGCGUGUUACUAAUUUGUCAAAGUAACGAAUCCUUGUUUCGAUGUCACACAUUCGUAUAUGCUUUAUCUAAAAAUAUUUCCAACUUUUGUGUGUUUGAUGCUGCAUGCUAUUGACUAGACAAGAUCAAGUGCAAUUAGUAGCUUUUCUCUCUUUUUCAUCUUUUCUUUGGUGGAAUUGCUUUUCGUUUCCACUAAUCAGCCUGAGUGGAUGCAAGAUAACACCUUUCUCUAUAGCUCAGAUUGCAAAGUCGUCUUCAUGAAAGUUUUUCCUUAUCUUGUGAACUACAACAUAUCCAAAUUUGAGAUCCAUCGGAGUAGUACAACUUCAGAAAUUCAAGUAUGAUGAGUAACUGUUCAUCAAUGUUCUGUUAAUCCGUCAGACUUGUUGUGAGCUUCGAAACUCCAUUUUUCUCUUGUUCAGAUCAACAUACUUUCUUCAUCGAAGUUGUUCCUCAGCUUGUGAACUACAACAUAUCCAAAUUUGAGAUCCCUCGGAGCAGUAUAACUCCAGAAAUCCAGGUAUGAUGAAUGACUGGUUAUUAUUUUUCUGUCAACCCGUCAGAUUUGUUGUGAGCUUCGAAACUCCAUUUUAUCUUGUUCAGAUCGGUAUGCUUUCUUCAUUGAAGUUGUUCCUCAGCUCGUGAACUACAACAUAUCCAAAUUUGAGAUCCCUCGGAGCAGUAUAACUCCAGAAAUCCAGGUAUGAUGAAUGACUGGUUAUUAUUUUUCUGUCAACCCGUUAGAUUUGUUGUGAGCUUCGAAACUCCAUUUUCUAUUGUUCAGAUCGGCAUGCUUUCUUCAUUGAAGUUGUUCCUCAUCGUCUCUUUCAUAACAUAUCAAAAAUUCAGAAUGAACUAAUGGUUAAAUAUUUCCAGAUCUUCGAAACAUCACAGCAGCUUCGAAAUCUGCAAGAAUCCGACUGUCAUGUUUGGAGCUUCAACACUUUAAUUUCCGUCGCUCAAACAGAAAUGGUUCCUUCUUGAAAGUUGUUCAUAUGCUCAAGAACUAUAGGGUGUCCAAAAUUCAGCUCCAUUGGAGAAGAGCAGAGGUUGCAGAAAUUUGAUAGAUGAAAGGAGGCGGAAGAGGGAGAGAGAGAGAAAAAAGUCUCUUGGGUUGGAUUUCUAUUUUGGGGCAGAUUCCAAUUUUUGUAGCACCUUCAUUAUUGAUGAAUUGCUUGUACUUUUGUCCAUUAUGAAACUUGGGACUUUGGCUUGUUGUUGGAUCUAUUAUAAUAUGUUUGGGAACAUAUAUAAGUGAAUAAAUAAGAAGGAAAAAUUUUGGGCCCUUGUGGGUGUAAAACAAAAAAUGUUUAUGUUUACCCAAGUGUUUUUGUACAAGUUCAAGGGCAUCUUGGGUUUUGUGAACAAAAUUUGUUUAUUUGGAGCAAGGUUUUUGUGUUGAAGCUUUGUAGGUGAAGCUUUGGUGUUGAAGCUUUGUAGAUGAAGCUUUCGAGGUGAAGCUUUGAUGGUGAAGCUUUGUAGAUGAAGCUUUCUGGGUGAAGCUUUGAUGGUGAAGCUUUUGUAGAUGAAAGUAUGUAGAGGGAGCUUUUCUAGGUGAAGAUUUUUUAGGUGAAGCUUUGUAGGUGAAGCUUUUUUAAGUGAAGCUUUUCGGGUGAAGUUUUUUUUUGGGUGAAGCUUUGUGGGUGAAGCUUUUUUUAGGUGAAGCUUUGUGGGUGAAGCUUUGGAGGUGAAGCUUUUCGGGUGAAGCUUUUUUGGGUGAAGCUUUUUUUAGGUGAAGCUUUGUGGGUGAAGCUUUGUGGGUGAAGCUUUUCGGGUGAAGCUUUUUGGAUGAAGCUGUUUUUUUUUUUUUUUUUUUUUUUUUUUGGCGCUUGACACGUUCUUCAUUUGCUUGUUUUGUAAUGACUGUGGAAGACGGAUUGCUUUCUGAUUGAGAAGGGUUCCGGCAUCGCUUGCUAUGAAUGUAAAAGAGUGAGGGCUGAGUUGGCUAAAUUACCUCUUUAUUGAAUUCAUUGCCAAAUGGCCUUCAUUACAUAGGAUGCCGAACGGCUAUAGCUCAACACUUGUACAUCGUGAGUCUAUUUGUAGUAGUACUUCAAGUGAUCAGCGUUCCAUGGAUGGCCAAGGGUCUUGCCAUCAGAGCUUCUAAGUGUGUAAGAGCCAGGGCGACUGAUGCCAAUGACUUCAUACGGUCCAUCCCAGUUUGGACUAAGUGUGCCUUCACUCGGGACUCUGUCGCAGAGUAAUCUUUUCUUUAAGACCCAGUCUCCUAUUUUGAAAGAACGAGGCUUGACCUUAGAGUCAUAAUAGUUGGAGAUGCGCUGCUUGUAGGCGACAUUCCUCAAGUGAGCUUGGUUUCUGUGUUCCUCGACUAAAUCCAAGUUGAGGGUGAGUUGUUUGUCAUUUUCACUUUGAAUGUAGUUCUGGACUCGGAAUGUUGCUUGCUCGAGCUCAACAGGGACAACCGCCUCUGUGCCAAAGGCAAGUGAGAAUGGAGUUUCUCCUGUUGAAGUCCGAUAUGAAGUGCGAUAUGACCAAAGAACUUGGGGUACAAAUUCUGGCCAACAGCCUUUAGCUUUGUCCAAGCUGGUUUUCAAAGUGCGCUUGAUUAUUUUGUUGAUGGCCUCAACUUGUCCAUUAGACUGGGGAUGAGCUGGAGAGGCAAAGCAUAAGUUGAUGUUGAACUUAGAGCAGAACAACCUGAACUUCUUGUUGUCAAAUUGUCGCCCAUUGUCAGUGACUAUCGCAUUGGGAAUGCCGAAUCUACAAAGGAUGUUCUUCCACACGAAGUCUUCUAUCUUUGCCUCAGUAAUGGUUGCCAAGGGUUCUACUUCGGCCCACUUUGUGAAGUAGUCCACUGCAACGACUACGUAACAGACUUUGCCCUUCCCUGCCGGCAUUGGGCCGAUCAAAUCAAGUCCCCACUGGGCGAAGGGCCAAUGGCUGAUCAUAGGAGUAAGAGGCUCUGGAGGGGAAUGAGGAAUAGUUGCAUAUCGUUGACAUUUGUCACAUGAGCGGGAUACUUUGAUGGCAUCCUGGUGGAGUGUUGGCCAGUAAUAUCCUUGGCGAAAAGUCUUGUGUGCUAGGGACCGAGAUCCAGCAUGAUCUCCACAGACUCCCUCAUGUAUUUCCCGAAGGACGAUUUCCGCCUCGGCAGGCGUAAGACACCUUAAGUAUGGCAGGCUAAAACCUCGCUUAUAGAGUUGAUCAUUGAUGAUCAGGUAGCGGGUAGACUUGUAUCGAAUUUGCUUAGCCUGGACUUUAUCAUUUGGGAGGGUGCCAUGAGCAAGGAAAUUAUAGAUCGGGGUGAUCCAACUAUCCCCCUGUUGUAAGUUGCAUACUUCUGCGGCCAUGGUGCUUGGUGUUGCCAACAGUUCGACAUGAAUUUUUCUUCCAAUCUUGUCUUCCACAGCUGAGGCGAGGCGAGCCAGGGCGUCUGCAUGACUGUUUGCCGCUCGAGGAACUUGGGUGAUCUGGUAGUGGAAGUGCUUGAGCAAAAGUUGUGUUUGCGCAAGAUAUGCUGCCAUGGAGCUGUCCUUAGCAUCAAAGUUGUUGGUAACCUGGUUGACCACUAAUUGGGAGUCACUGAAAAUAUCAAUUUGUUUAACCCCGAGGUGUUUGGCCAAACGUAAUCCUGCUAGAAGGGCUUCAUACUCGGCCUCAUUGUUUGAUGCCUUGAAUUUGAAACGAAAAGCAUACUCCAUUGCUACUUUGUCGGGCGUAGUCAAGACUAGUCCCGCUCCACAGCCCUGUUGGUUGGAUGAGCCAUCAACAUACAGACUCCAUGCUGAGGUCGUUGAUUCUACCUUCUGAGCUUCCGGGGGUAAUGAAGCCACUGCUUCAGGUGUAGAAGCAAUGUCAACCGGAUAUGUGAAGUCGGCAAUGAAGUCUGCCACUGCUUGGCCCUUCUCAGCUGGCUUUGGUUGGUAGGAGAUGUCAAACUCACCCAAUGCUAUCGCCCAUUUGAUCAUUCGCCCAGACGUGUCAGGACUCUGGAGUAUAUGUCGAAGAGGGUGAUUGGUAAGCACGAUGAUGGCGUGUGCUUGGAAAUAAGGGCGAAGUUUCCGAGCAGACAUGACCAAUGCUAGAGCUAAUUUCUCAAUGUUGGAGUAUCGUGUCUCCGCAUCUUGUAGGGCCUUGCUAGCGUAGUAGACGGGCCGUUCGACACCACUGUCCAUUCGAAUAAGAACAGAACUGACUGCUGAAGCCGAAACCGAUAGAUAGAUGAUGAGAGUGUCACCAACUUCUGGUUUGGAGAGCAGAGGGGCUUUACUCAUGUACUCUUUGAGGUUCCUGAAUGCCUUGGCACAUUCCUCCGUCCAUGUAAUGUACUUCUUAUUUCCCUGAGUGCUUUGAAGAAAGGAGCACAUCUGUCUGUGGCCUUAGAAAUGAACCUGGUUAAGGCUGCCACCUUGCCAGUAAGGCUCUGGAUGUCCUUUGAAGUUACCGGUUCCUUCAUGUCGAGGAUUGCUUUGAUCUUCUCAGGAUUAGCUUCAAUGCCUCGUUGGCUAAUCAUGAAACCUAAGAAUUUGCCAGAGCCUACGCCGAAGGCACAUUUGUUGGGGUUUAACCUCAUUCGAUACCUCUUCAAAAUAGUGAAAGUUUCAGAUAGGUUGGUGAUGUGUUGGUCAGCAUGUUUGCUCUUGACUAACAUAUCAUCAACGUAAACUUCCAUGCUCUUCCCAAUCUGCUCGGCGAACAUUGAGUUGACUAGUCUCUGAUAAGUCGCUCCUGCAUUCUUUAGGCCGAAAGGCAUGACUUUAUAGCAGUAUAGUCCUCUGUCGGUAGUGAAGGCUGUGUGUUCUUGAUCCGAAGGGUUCAUGAGGAUUUGGUUGUAUCCUGAGUAAGCAUCCAUGAAGCUCAGGAGUUCACACCCGGCCGUAGAGUCUAUAAGUCUGUCAAUAAGAGGAAGAGGGAAGCUAUCUUUCGGACACCCUUUGUUUAGGUCGGUGUAGUCAACACACAUUCUCCACAAGACCUUUUGAAGCAAAAGACUUUCUUUGGUCGGAUUUUUCUUAACAAGGACCACAUUUGCUACCCAUGUCGGGUAAUUGACUUCGCGGACAAAGCCUAUGCCUUUGAGUUUUUCAACUUCUGCUUUCAUUGCCUCGUAUCGUUCAGCGUCAUAAGAUCUUCGCUUCUGUCUCACCGGCUUGAUCUUGGGGUCAAUACUCAAACGAUGACAGAUGACAUCGGGAGAGAUGCCUGGCAUGUCCUCGUAUGACCAGGCGAAGACUUCAGUGUUCUCUUUCAAAAAAGAUAUCAAUGCUAACCGAAUGGGUGGUGACAAUGUGGUGCCAAUCUUCACCAUGCGAUCUGGAUAAUCUCUUGAGAUAGGUACCUUCUCCAACUCUUCAGCAGGUUGGGCUUGCUGGGUAAAAGAGUCAUCUCGAGGAUCAUCGGGUUGAUUGUUGCUAUCAGGAAGAUCCAAGUUCGCUUCAUCUAGGCUGGUCUUUGUGACUUGGUCAUGUACAGACAGGGUUUCCUUGGGUCCGGGCAAGUGUUGUUGCUUAACUGAAGUGUUGUAACAUGAUCGUGCACUAAGCUGAUCUCCUCUGAUGUAGCCGUUGCCAUGGGGGGUUGGAAAUUUCAUCAACAGCAUAUGCGUGGAUACCAUAGCCUUGAGAUCAUUGAUGCCUGUGCGCCCAAAGAUGACAUUGUAUGCCGUUGGGCAGUCAACCACUAGGAAGUUAGUGGUAAUGGUAGCCGUGUAAGGGCCUGUACCAAUAGUAAAGGGUAAAUGUAUGCUCCCUAAGGGUUGCACGAUAUCACCGGAGAAGCUUAUUAGAGGAGAGAAAUCGAGCGAUCGAGCAAGUGUUCAGCUACACUGAGUGCCCUGAAAGCUUCGGCAAACAUGAUAUUGACCGAAGCCCCUGUGUCUACGAGGAUUCGUCGAACAUCAAAGUUGGCUAUGUGAGCCUCCACGAUCAAUGGGUCGUUAUGAGGGUAGAUGAUGCCUCUUUCUUCCUCAGGGUAGAAACAUAUCGGAUCCCAGUUAGGCUUUUGAUACUUCCCUCCCCUGAUGUCUUCCACGUGAAACACUUGGUGACCAGGCCUCAGAAUUCGUUCACUGUUUUUCAUGGCCCUAUUGGAAGAUUCAGAUAUGGGUGUGUGCCGCCGCUUAUGGAAUAUAUGACAUUCACCUGGCGUUGGUUACGGUUAUCCCUUUGAGGGUGAAGGAGGAAUUGAUCAAUUUUUCCUUCUCGUGCCAAAACUUCAAUACGAUCACGGAGGAUGAUACAUUUCUCGCUAUCAUGGCCGUUAUGCUCAUGGUAGCAACAAAACAUGCCCGCGUUAUUCGGGGGCGUGUAAUCUGGGUGCCUCGGCUUUGGCUUUGGUAUCAGGUGAGCUAUGCUGGGGGUAAAUGGCCGCGCAUGUGGCAUUCAAGGGCGUGUAUGUCUCAUACCUUGGGGUAGGGGGUAUCUUGACGCGGGUUUGACCCACUGCAUUGACUGCCUGGGGGCGAGCGUUAUUGUGGCGAUACCUUUGGUUAUCGGGAUAGUGUCCCUUACUCUUUUUACUGAAAUGAGAGUGGUGAGGAUGGAAAUCCUUCCUCUUGCCUUGAAAUUGAUAUGUCUGUUGAUUCGGCGAAGCAUUAUGCAAGGCAUGGGGAGGUGCCACUGCUGUUUGGAAAGUCGAGGUCUUCUCAUUUAGGUGAGUCUGGCUUCCACCUCCCACUUGUUGAUAAAUGAUGGUUGUAGGGGGUUUCUCCUGAUAUGUCUUUGCCUCGGCGGAGGCAUGGUUAUAAGCCUGCGCCAUCACCUCAGAGUAAGUCUUCCAAGUAUUGGCAUUGAUCAUGUAUUUAAAGAAACAAUCACGUAGGCCUGCCGUGAAGGCUUUGAGGGCAGUCUUGUCGUCUGCCUCGGCACACCGGGAGUAUUCAUGGCUGAAGCGGCCAGCAUACAUACGUAAUGACUCGUCUGGCUUCUGGCGGAUAGUGUACAGGUCAUCUGCAGAGUGCAAGCGAUCGGUUUGGAAAAUGUGUUGGGAAACAAAUAGUUUCCUCAAUUCCUCAAAUGAGUCUACCGUCUCAGGUGUAAGACGACAAUACCAAUUUAGAGCUCCGCCAGAGAGGGUGGAGGGGAAGAGAAGACAUCGCUCUUCGUCGGUGUGCAUCCGGUAUGCCAUGGUGGACUCAAAGAGGUUAAGGUGCUCAAUCGGGUCCUCUUUUCCAGUAUAAAGUUGCAAGCCAAGCUUUUGCUUUGUCUUUGCUUGAAGGGGGGUGUUGAGGAUCCUCCUUGUAAGAGGGCCAGGCCUGGGUUGGUUCCAGUCAGGUAUUUCAGCCUGACGUUCAGCCUUCAACUUGUUUACUUCCUCAAGAAGUUGUAGGACAAGGGGUCCUGAGCGGAGUUAUGUGCCACUGGAGCUUUCUUUCGUAAAUCUCCAUCUCCUCUUGGAAUUAGGAAGGUUUGAUCAAGGGCAUGUGAUUUUUCCCUGGACUCGCUGUACUGGCUUCCAGGGUAUGUCUGUCGGAAACACCUCUGAGUCCCCUGUACCCUCAUGUCUCUCUAGGACUUGUUGCCCCUUCCCCAAAUUGGUGGCCGGCUCGGGCCGUGGCAGGGGACCGAGUCUCUCAGAAAUCCUUGGGUCAUUGAUCUUUGAGCUUAUAUGGAUGGAAUUCUCUCGACGUUGCUUCAGGAAAUCCCGACAAUCGCGAAAGACGGCUUUCGAUCCUUCUGCCCCUUCAGCAAAGAGGUGUCUCCCUCCACUUCUCAUGGUUCGGGUCGAAGCAACUGGGUUAAGAGAAGCCUCAUGUUGAUUAUCAAGUCGAGGGGUAAUCUGUUCCCUAUCAGGGAUAUCUAUGUCGAAUGCAUGUGACCCUCCAUGUUGGAGGGCACCCAGUUGAUGGUUGACUUCCACGGGGGCAACAAGCACGCGUGUCUGAGCUUGCCUAGCUUCGUGGAGUGUCUCGAAGAGCUUCUCAUAUUGCUCCUGGAGGACCUCAUUCCUCAUUGCUAUCUUGUUGUUCUGAGCUUCCAACUCAUCGACUUUAGCUUGAAGAAGAACUCGUUUUCCUUCCUUCUUUCGUUGCUUCGCACUAUGUGCAAGGGGGUGUCAUUCUGUGUGUUGUGGCUUCCUUCGCUUCCCAUGUUGGAGAGGGAUGCCUGGUCAAAAGAAAGUGUACGAAUGAUAGAAACCAGCUUGACACAGCUGAAGAGAGUAGGAAUAAGUGUCGUUCCCACAGACGGCGCCAAAUGUUGAUGCACAAAAUCAGCGAAGACUUUGGUACAACAGAAAGUGUCAGGUUUUGUGACCUUCGCUUGGUUGCUUCGGUCACUAGUGAGGAUAAGUACGUAAAUGAAUAGAGACAGAGAAGCAAACACAGGAUGUACGUGGUUCACCCAGAUUGGCUACGUCCACGGAGUAGAGGAGUUCUUAUUAGUAGUGAAGGGCUUACACAAGUACAAAGGAUCAAGCUUUCAAUUUAGUGAGUUCUUGUGAAUGAUUUAACACAAAUGGCAUUAGGCAAUAUUGUGGGGGGAUGACCCCUAUUUAUAGAAAAACUUGUAGCUUUGUCACAUUGACAUGUGUCAUGUUAUGAUUGGUUCUUGAUGUUGACACGUGCUGCGCUCUAAUUGGCUUCUAAUCUUGACACGUGUCGAGUAGUGAUUGGCCUCCUGGUCGGAGGGGAAUUCUUCUGGGUCCUUGACAGUAUAGCGUUGGCCGGUGCUCGGUAGUUUCGGGAUUGGUCAAGUAUGGUACAAACACCUCCAAAUUCAAUUAGACUUGAAAAAAAAUUGAGUCGUGCAAAAAAUUAUUUUAAAUUAAA
rnacentral:lncRNA from 1 species